GUGAAUCAUCGAAUUUUUGAACGCACAUUGCGCUUCCUGGUAUCCCGGGAAGUAUGCCUGUUUGAGGGUCAUUAUUAACAAAACCAUCGGUUUGGUUGCUACUUGUUACGUUUCCGGGGUUUGGGCUAUCUUAACGUUUUUGGUUAAGGUGCUUAAAAUUGACCUUUUUUGCGCAUUUUUAGUCGUACUUAUCUUUUUUUUUUUAUUCGUCUAUUCUUAAUGCCA
rnacentral:misc_RNA from 1 species